UUGUUGUUGCUAUUCCUGAAAAAGGUAACGAUGUUGUUCCGAAAGUAGGUGUUGUUGCUGUUCCUGAAGAAGUUCGUGAUAUUGUUCCGAAAGUUGGUGUUGUUGCUGUUUCUGAAGAAGUUGGUGAUGUUGUUCCGAAAGUAGGUGUUGAUGUUAUUCCUGAAAAACAUGUGACUGAUGUUCGUGAAGCAGUAGAAGAUGUGAAUGAUGUUGUUCCUGAGGUAGAUGGGAAUGUCGAUCAUGAAGCAGAUGUUGCUGAGGUAGAAGCAAAGGUCGUUUUUGAGAAAACGAGG
rnacentral:lncRNA from 1 species